rnacentral:rRNA from 1 species
UACGAAGGGUGCAACCGUUGCUCGGAAUUAUUGGGCGUAAAGCGCACGUAGGCGGCCUUGCAAGUCGGAUGUGAAAUCCCUCGGCUUAACCAAGGAAGUGCAUCCGAAACUGCUAUGCUUGAGUACUUAAGAGGAUCGCGGAAUUCCCGGUGUAGAGGUGAAAUUCGUAGAUAUCGGGAGGAACACCAGUGGCGAAGGCGGCGAUCUGGGAAGAUACUGACGCUGAGGUGCGAAAGCGUGGGGAGCAAACGGG